UUGAUCCUGGCUCAGAGUAGCAUUCUCCCCGAUGUUAGCGGCGGACGGGUGAGUAACACGUGGGUAACCUGCCUGUAAGACUGGGAUAACUCCGGGAAACCGGAGCUAAUACCGGAUAGUUCCUUGAACCGCAGGGUUCAAGGAUGAAAGACGGUUUCGGCUGUCACUUACAGAUGGACCCGCGGCGCAUUAGCUAGUUGGUGAGGUAACGGCUCACCAAGGCCACGAUGCGUAGCCAACCUGAGAGGGUGAUCGGCCACACUGGGACUGAGACACGGCCCAUACUCCUACGGGAGGCAGCAAUAGGGAAUCUUCCGCAAUGGACGAAAGUCUGACGGAGCAACGCCGCGUGAGUGAUGAAGGUUUUCGGAUCGUAAAGCUCUGUUGUUAGGGAAGAACAAGUGCAAGAGUAACUGCUUGCACCUUGACGGUACCUAACCAGAAAGCCACGGCUAACUACGUGCCAGCAGCCGCGGUAAUACGUAGGUGGCAAGCGUUGUCCGGAAUUAUUGGGCGUAAAGGGCUCGCAGGCGGUUUCUUAAGUCUGAUGUGAAAGCCCCCGGCUCAACCGGGGAGGGUCAUUGGAAACUGGGAAACUUGAGUGCAGAAGAGGAGAGUGGAAUUCCACGUGUAGCGGUGAAAUGCGUAGAGAUGUGGAGGAACACCAGUGGCGAAGCGACUCUCUGGUCUGUAACUGACGCUGAGGAGCGAAAGCGUGGGGAGCGAACAGAUUAGAUACCCUGGUAGUCCACGCCGUAAACGAUGAGUGCUAAGUGUUAGGGGUUUCCGCCCCUUAUGCUGCAGCUAACGCAUUAAGCACUCCGCCUGGGGGAGUACGGUCACAGACUGAAACUCAAAGGAGUGGACGCGGGCCGCACAAGCGGUUGUAGCAUGUGGUUUAAUUCCAAAGCAACGCGAAGACCCUUACAAGUCAUGACAUCCUCUGACCAUAGAGAGGCUUUCC
rnacentral:rRNA from 1 species